rnacentral:rRNA from 1 species
AUUGAACGCUGGCGGCAGGCUUAACACAUGCAAGUCGAGCGGAGAUGAGGUGCUUGCACCUUAUCUUAGCGGCGGACGGGUGAGUAAUGCUUAGGAAUCUGCCUAUUAGUGGGGGACAACAUUCCGAAAGGAAUGCUAAUACCGCAUACGUCCUACGGGAGAAAGCAGGGGAUCUUCGGACCUUGCGCUAAUAGAUGAGCCUAAGUCGGAUUAGCUAGUUGGUGGGGUAAAGGCCUACCAAGGCGACGAUCUGUAGCGGGUCUGAGAGGAUGAGCCGCCACACUGGGACUGAGACACGGCCCAGACUCCUACGGGAGGCAGCAGUGGGGAAUAUUGGACAAUGGGGGGAACCCUGAUCCAGCCGUGCCGCGUGUGUGAAGAAGGCCUUAUGGUUGUAAAGCACUUUAAGCGAGGAGGAGGCUACUGAGACUAAUACUCUUGGAUAGUGGACGUUACUCGCAGAAUAAGCACCGGCUAACUCUGUGCCAGCCGCCGCGGUAACAC